CGCGGGAUUGGGGACGGGGUGCAGCAGACGCGAAACCUCUACAAUGCACGCAAGUGUGAUAGGGGAAUCCCAAGUGCUCAUGUUCUACAUGGGCUUUUGCCAAGGGUAAAAACCUUGGAGAAUAAGUGGUGGGUAAGACUGGUGCCAGCCGCCGCGGUAACACCAGCGCCACUAGUGGGAACCGCUUUUAUUGGGCCUAAAGCGUUCGUAGCCGGUUUUGUAAAUCUUUUGUGAAACUGUUGAGCUCAACUCAACAACGUGCAGAAGACACUGCAAAACUUGGGACCGGGAGGAGUCAGAGGUAUGUCUGACGGAGCGGUAAAAUGUUGUAAUCCCAGAUAGACCACCUGUGGCGAAGGCGUCUGACCAGAACGGAUCCGACGGUGAGGGACGAAAGCCAGGGGAGCAAAACGGAUUAGAUACCCGAGUAGUCCUAGCCGUAAACGCUGCGAGCUAGGUGUUGCAUAAUCUUCGUGAUUGUGCAGUACCGGAGCGAAGGUGUUAAGCUCGCCGCCUGGGAAGUACGGUCGCAAGGCUGAAACUUAAAGGAAUUGGCGGGGGAGCACUACAAGGGGUGCGGCGUGCGGUUUAAUCUAACUCCACACAGAGAAUCUCACCAGAGGCGACGGCAGAAUGAAAGUCAGGCUAAAGACCUUACUUGACAAGCCGAGAGGUAGUGCAUGGCCGCCGUCAGCUCGUGCCGUAAGGUGUCCUGUUAAGUCAGGCAACGAGCAAGACCUGCGCCCACAAUUGCUAGCAAGUCCAUCAGGAUGAUUGAGCACAUUGUGGGGACUGCCUUCGAAAGGAGGAGGAAGGUGCAGGCUACGGUAGGUCUGUAUGCUCCGAAUCCUCUGGGCUACACGCGCGCAACAAUGGUAAGGACAAUGGGCUACGACUCCGAAAGGAGAAGUUAAACCUCGAAACCUUACCUUAGUUCAGAUCGAGGAUUGUAACUCAUCCUCGUGACGAUGGAAUCCCUAGUAAUGGGACGUCAUCAGCGUCCCGUGAAUAUGUCCCUGCUCCUUGCACGAAUUCGCCGAAUCACUAGU
rnacentral:rRNA from 1 species